rnacentral:rRNA from 1 species
AGUGAACGCUGGCGGUAGGCCUAACACAUGCAAGUCGAACGGCAGCACAGUAAGAGCUUGCCCUUACGGGUGGCGAGUGGCGGACGGGUGAGGAAUACAUCGGAAUCUACUUUUUCGUGGGGGAUAACGUAGGGAAACUUACGCUAAUACCGCAUACGACCUACGGGUGAAAGCAGGGGAUCUUCGGACCUUGCGCGAUUGAAUGAGCCGGUGUCGGAUUAGCUAGUUGGCGGGGUAAAGGCCCACCAAGGCGACGAUCCUUAGCUGGUCUGAGAGGAUGAUCAGCCACACUGGAACUGAGACACGGUCCAGACUCCUACGGGAGGCAGCAGUGGGGAAUAUUGGACAAUGGGCGCAAGCCUGAUCCAGCCAUACCGCGUGGGUGAAGAAGGCCUUCGGGUUGUAAAGCCCUUUUGUUGGGAAAGAAAAGCAGCAGGUUAAUACCCCGCUGUUCUGACGGUACCCAAAGAAUAAGCACCGGCUAACUUCGUG